UACGAGAGGCGCAAGCGUUAUUCGGAAUUACUGGGCUUAAAGAGUUCGUAGGCGGCGCAGCAAGUAGGGUGUGAAAGCCCUCGGCUCAACCGAGGAAUUGCGCUCUAAACUACUGUGCUUGAGGGACCUAGAGGUGAGCGGAACUGAUGGUGGAGCGGUGAAAUGCGUUGAUAUCAGCAGGAACACCGGAGGCGAAGGCGGCUCACUGGGGGUCUUCUGACGCUGAGGAACGAAAGCCAGGGGAGCGAACGGG
rnacentral:rRNA from 1 species